rnacentral:rRNA from 1 species
AACGAACGCUGGCGGCAGGCUUAACACAUGCAAGUCGAGCGGGCGCUUUCGGGCGUCAGCGGCGGACGGGUUAGUAACGCGUGGGAACGUGCCCUUUGCUCUGGAGUAGCCCUGGGAAACCGGGGGUAAUACCGGAUGUGCCCUGAGGGGGAAAGGUUUACCGGCAAGGGAUCAGCCCGCGUCUGAUUAGGUAGUUGGUGUGGUAACGGCGCACCAAGCCGACGAUCGGUAGCUGGUUUGAGAGGAUGAUCAGCAACACUGGGACUGAGACACGGCCCAGACUCCUACGGGAGGCAGCAGUGGGGAAUCUUAGACAAUGGGCGAAAGCCUGAUCUAGCCAUGCCGCGUGGGUGAUGAAGGCCUUAGGGUCGUAAAGCCCUUUCGCCGGGGAAGAUAAUGACGGUACCCGGUAAAGAAACCCCGGCUAACUCCGUGCCAGCAGCCGCAGUAA